ACCAUCUGUGCACACAGCUUAUCCAUACCUGCCAGCUCGGCACAGAGGAAUGUGUCAGCUCCCACUUUUCCAGAUCAGCUGAAAGCCUCCUUCGUGCUCCAGUGAAAUUUUGAAACCAUUCCCUGAAGAUCUAUUCCCUUCACCCAGCACAUUUGACUGCCACAGCCUUCUCUCAGCAAGAAGCUCUUUCUGCAGUGCUGUUUUCACAGGUUGGAGCUGGGAAGAUUCAUCUGCUCUUCAGUGUCACCUCCCUGCCCUGCAAGCUGCAGAAUGAUCAUUCCAGGGUCCUGGGGAAUGUCACUCCUGACAAGAAUAUACUCUCCAAGACACUGAUUCCUCGGAGAUCUUGUCUACGCUUUGUACAACUUGGCCAUCUGUUUCUUGGAAUCUGGACAUUCAGCAACAGCAUGAAAUUAUACUGAUUUGGAAUCCAAUGAAGUCUGUGCUAUAAGCCAAACUAAGGAUCAAUAUGAUAUCUUCUUCGAGAUGGAUAUAUUUUCAGUCUUUUCAGUUUGAAGAAUCCAUUCCAUUCACAGAGUCCAAGAUGUCCUGAUCUGGUGCUCCUUUUUCCUGAAAGCUGUGGGAGUAGCAAGAUGGAUGUUCUGAUUCCAAACCAUCCGUAACAUACUCCGUUCAAAUGCAAAAUGUGGGGCAAAGACCUGCUGCCAUGCCCUGACUCCUUUUUCCCACUGUGGAUUGUAUUCAGGC